rnacentral:ncRNA from 1 species
AAAUAUUUGAGUUUGAUGAUGGCUCUGAUUGAACGCUAUCCAAGUGCUUGACACAUGCUAAUCGUACGACAUCAUGUUAAAAAAUGAUGUAGUGGUGUACAGGUGAGUAAAUAAUAUUUUGGCUACCUUAAAGAAAGGUUAAAUACCUUAUAUAAGAAAGAAAUUAAUAUUUCGCUUUAAGAUGUUAAUAAAUAUUCUCGGUGAAUAUAUAGUAGUAGAAAAGGUAAUAUCUUAACUAGCUAUAAACCGUAGUCGUGACUGAGAGGUCGAUCGAUCACAUUGGGUCUGAAAAAACCCCAAUGCGUAUUAGUACAGCAGUGAGGAAUAUUGGUCAAUGGCCUAACGGCUGAACCAGCAACUUGGGGGAAUAAAUAUAAUGAUAUAAAUAAUAUCAUUAUUUUUCUAAAUAGGAUAAUGAUUAUGACAAUUUUCUAUUUAUAAGUCUUGACCAAAUUACGUGCCAGCAGUCGCGGUAAUACGUAGAAGACAAGUGUUAGUCAUCUUGAUUGGGUUUAAAGGGUACCUAGACGGUAUAAUAAAUCUGAUAAAGAUAUUUAUUUACUAGAGUUUUAUAGGAGAAAGGGAGAACUUUUGGAGGAAAGAUAUAAUUUUUUAAUACCAAUAGGACUGAUAACGGCGAAGGGACUUUCUAUGUAAAAACUGACGUUGAGGGACGAAGGCUUGGGGAGCGAAAAGGAUUAGAUACCCUAAUAGUCCAAGCAGAAAAUUAUGAAUGCCAUAAGUUAGAUUCAACAUUUAACUUGUAUUAUAAGUUUAAAUGUACAAAUAUAUUUAACAUAUAAAUGAAAGUGUAAGCAUUCCACCUUAAGAGUAAGAUGGCAACAUUGAAACUGAAAUCAUUAGACCGUUUCUGAAACCAGUAGUGAAGUAUGUGUGCGACAAGAAACGUAUAUUAGUAAUGCGGUGAAAUUCCGCUAGUCGUCUCUACCUAACACUAUCUAC